rnacentral:rRNA from 1 species
AGAGUUUGAUCCUGGCUCAGGACGAACGCUGGCGGCACGCUUAACACAUGCAAGUCGAACGAGAGAAGAGGAGCUUGCUUUUCUGAUCUAGUGGCGGACGGGUGAGUAACACGUGAGCAAUCUGCCUUUCAGAGGGGGAUACCGAUUGGAAACGAUCGUUAAUACCGCUUAACAUAAUUGAACCGCAUGAUUUGAUUAUCAAAGAUUUAUCGCUGAAAGAUGAGCUCGCGUCUGAUUAGCUAGUUGGUAAGGUAACGGCUUACCAAGGCGACGAUCAGUAGCCGGACUGAGAGGUUGAUCGGCCACAUUGGGACUGAGACACGGCCCAGACUCCUACGGGAGGCAGCAGUGGGGAAUAUUGCACAAUGGAGGAAACUCUGAUGCAACGAUGCCGCGUGAGGGAAGAAGGUUUUAGGAUUGUAAACCUCUGUCUUCAGGGACGAAAAAAGACGGUACCUGAGGAGGAAGCUCCGGCUAACUACGUGCCAGCAGCCGCGGUAAUACAUAGGGAGCGAGCGUUGUCCGGAAUUACUGGGUGUAAAGGGAGCGUAGGCGGGAUCGCAAGUCAGAUGUGAAAACUAUGGGCUUAACCCAUAAACUGCAUUUGAAACUGUGGUUCUUGAGUGAAGUAGAGGUAAGCGGAAUUCCUAGUGUAGCGGUGAAAUGCGUAGAUAUUAGGAGGAACAUCAGUGGCGAAGGCGGCUUACUGGGCUUUAACUGACGCUGAGGCUCGAAAGCGUGGGGAGCAAACAGGAUUAGAUACCCUGGUAGUCCACGCCGUAAACGAUGAUUACUAGGUGUGGGGGGACUGACCCCUUCCGUGCCGCAGCAAACGCAAUAAGUAAUCCACCUGGGGAGUACGACCGCAAGGUUGAAACUCAAAGGAAUUGACGGGGGCCCGCACAAGCAGUGGAGUAUGUGGAUUAAUUCGAAGCAACGCGAAGAACCUUACCAGGUCUUGACAUCGUAUGCAUAGCUCAGAGAUGAGUGAAAUCUCUUCGGAGACAUAUAGACAGGUGGUGCAUGGUUGUCGUCAGCUCGUGUCGUGAGAUGUUGGGUUAAGUCCCGCAACGAGCGCAACCCUUACUGUUAGUUGCUACGCAAGAGCACUCUAGCAGGACUGCCGUUGACAAAACGGAGGAAGGUGGGGAUGACGUCAAAUCAUCAUGCCCCUUAUGACCUGGGCCUCACACGUACUACAAUGGCUGUCAACAGAGGGAAGCAAAGCCGCGAGGUGGAGCGAACCCCUAAAAGCAGUCUUAGUUCGGAUUGUAGGCUGCAACCCGCCUACAUGAAGUCGGAAUUGCUAGUAAUCGCGGAUCAGCAUGCUGCGGUGAAUACGUUCCCGGGCCUUGUACACACCGCCCGUCACGCCAUGGGAGUCGGUAACACCCGAAGCCUGUAGUCUAACCGCAAGGAGGACGCAGUCGAAGGUGGGAUUGAUGACUGGGGUGAAGUCGUAACAAGGUA